rnacentral:rRNA from 1 species
CUCGUAGUAGGAUUUCUGUUGUAUUAUUUAUAAUAUUACUAAGGUAAUAUUAUAAUAACAACAUCCUUCCUAUUAUAUUUUUAAUAUAUAGGAAAUUUUACUUUGAGAAAAUUAGAGUGCU